rnacentral:rRNA from 1 species
AGCAGCCGCGGUAAUUCCAGCUCCAAUAGCGUAUAUUAAAGUUGUUGCAGUUAAAAAGCUCGUAGUUGAACCUCGGGAUCAAUGGAUCGGUCAUGCCAUCGGUAUGUACUGGUCUCAUUGGUUCUCACCUUCUAAGGAACCAUGAUGUCAUUCAGUUGAUGUUGUGGGGAAUUAGGACUGUUACCUUGAAAAAAUUAGAGUGUUUAAAGCAGGCUAACGCUUGAAUACAUUAGCAUGGAAUAAUGAAAUAGGACAUCGCAUUCUAUUUUGUUGGUUUCUAGGAUCGAUGUAAUGAUUAAUAGGGAUAGUUGGGGGCAUUAGUAUUCAAUUGUCAGAGGUGAAAUUCUUGGAUUUAUUGAAGACUAACUACUGCGAAAGCAUUUGCCAAGGAUGUUUUCAUUAAUCAAGAACGAAAGUUAGGGGAUCGAAGACGAUCAGAUACCGUCGUAGUCUUAACCAUAAACUAUGCCGACUAGGGAUCGGAUGAUGUUGAUUUUUUAAUGACUCAUUCGGCACCUUACG